rnacentral:rRNA from 1 species
ACUGGGAUAACUCCGGGAAACCGGAGCUAAUACCGGAUAGUUCCUUGAACCGCAUGGUUCAAGGAUGAAAGACGGUUUCGGCUGUCACUUACAGAUGGACCCGCGGCGCAUUAGCUAGUUGGUGGGGUAAUGGCUCACCAAGGCGACGAUGCGUAGCCGACCUGAGAGGGUGAUCGGCCACACUGGGACUGAGACACGGCCCAGACUCCUACGGGAGGCAGCAGUAGGGAAUCUUCCGCAAUGGACGAAAGUCUGACGGAGCAACGCCGCGUGAGUGAUGAAGGUUUUCGGAUCGUAAAGCUCUGUUGUUAGGGAAGAACAAGUGCGAGAGUAACUGCUCGCACCUUGACGGUACCUAACCAGAAAGCCACGGCUAACUACGUGCCAGCAGCCGCGGUAAUACGUAGGUGGCAAGCGUUGUCCGGAAUUAUUGGGCGUAAAGGGCUCGCAGGCGGUUUCUUAAGUCUGAUGUGAAAGCCCCCGGCUCAACCGGGGAGGGUCAUUGGAAACUGGGAAACUUGAGUGCAGAAGAGGAGAGUGGAAUUCCACGUGUAGCGGUGAAAUGCGUAGAGAUGUGGAGGAACACCAGUGGCGAAGGCGACUCUCUGGUCUGUAACUGACGCUGAGGAGCGAAAGCGUGGGGAGCGAACAGGAUUAGAUACCCUGGUAGUCCACGCCGUAAACGAUGAGUGCUAAGUGUUAGGGGGUUUCCGCCCCUUAGUGCUGCAGCUAACGCAUUAAGCACUCCGCCUGGGGAGUACGGUCGCAAGACUGAAACUCAAAGGAAUUGACGGGGGCCCGCACAAGCGGUGGAGCAUGUGGUUUAAUUCGAAGCAACGCGAAGAACCUUACCAGGUCUUGACAUCCUCUGACAACCCUAGAGAUAGGGCUUUCCCUUCGGGGACAGAGUGACAGGUGGUGCAUGGUUGUCGUCAGCUCGUGUCGUGAGAUGUUGGGUUAAGUCCCGCAACGAGCGCAACCCUUGAUCUUAGUUGCCAGCAUUUAGUUGGGCACUCUAAGGUGACUGCCGGUGACAAACCGGAGGAAGGUGGGGAUGACGUCAAAUCAUCAUGCCCCUUAUGACCUGGGCUACACACGUGCUACAAUGGACAGAACAAAGGGCUGCGAGACCGCAAGGUUUAGCCAAUCCCAUAAAUCUGUUCUCAGUUCGGAUCGCAGUCUGCAACUCGACUGCGUGAAGCUGGAAUCGCUAGUAAUCGCGGAUCAGCAUGCCGCGGUGAAUACGUUC